ACAUCAUCUGCAGUAGGACGGGGGAGUUGGAGCCCUGGUCAGGCCACUCUGCUACUGACCACAGUUUUCUCAUCUCUAAAAAGGCGCAGUAACAAUAUAAUUACCGUAUGCAGUCCCCCAGGAUACAGGGUCAAAGGAGAGCACAACCAUCGCAGUUGGAAGCCCAUGGGGCAGGGCCCAGGACACAGUGAGCAUACAAUAGACAUUAGCUGCUGUGGUGUCUUGAUUUCAAGCCCAGUGCAGAUGCAUCUGACUUACGAAACUUCAGUGACACCUGCUCUGUGCCAGACACUGAAGAUGGAGCAGUGAACAGCACUGACCCAGCCUGUCCUCCUGUUGCCUGCAGGCCAGGUUCCCAGUCCCUGAUUUCUGGCCACUCCGCCUUUCUUGGCACCCGAGCUCUGUGAGGGCAAGACUUUGUUCGGUUGUGGGCUAUGCCCCCAACCCCUCGGACAGUGCCUGCACAGGUGGACAUUUUUGUUGGAUGAAGGAUUUUCUGUUAAAUGUGUCUGGCACACACAGAAAAACAAAGCCCAGCAGAUGCCGUUCCAUUGUUUGCUGACUUUCAUUGAUUCUAUGAGAAGUCUGCAGUCUUUUGCAGCGUUGUUUUCCUAUGUAUAAUUGUCUCCUCCCACCCCACUCACCCCAGCUGCUUUCCACAUUCUCUCUCUUUGAUUUUCAGCAGUCUGCCCAUGAUGUGCCUAAAUAGGACUUUCUUUGCAUUCAUCUUGGCUGGGGCUCACUGAACUUUCUGAAUCUGUAGAUUAAUUUUCUUUUUUCAAUAAACCUUGGAAUAUUUUCAGCAUAA
ensembl:lncRNA LINC00963 long intergenic non-protein coding RNA 963